CCAGGUGCCGCCUGCCAUGACCAACAUGGCUGUCACCCCGAGCGACAAUUUCAGUAGAAUUUCUGCACUCAGAUUCGAAAUAUCCCGCGCAAUGUGCGUCCGCGUUGUUUUUCUGUUUGGAGUAGCCGCGCUAGCGCUGCAGGCGCUGCAGAGAAUGCCGCGCCAAACCCGAAACUACGCCACCGUACCGAAACUUUCGAAACGCCGCGCCGACGGGUCUUCGGAGUGCGCGCGCUCGAAGCGACCAAGCGGCAGCCAUUACCACCAGCGUCGGCGCAUUGUUCUGCCGUCGUUGGUGUCUCCCGCAGUUUCGAACAGCCAAGACUCCACGACUGCAGCCGUUUCAUUGCCAGCUGUAAGGAUGAAGCAGCUUCAUAGCCGGACAUCAGACGCCUUCCAAGUUCCCCUUUUCAGCAACAGAGGCAUAGGAUGCCAUUCUACCUGUGCUGCAUUGUGUGGCUGACCACUCCUAGGAUCUCAGCAGAAUCAUUACACAGUUUCAGAAGCCACAAUUGCCUGGCAUGCUGUCUGGUCAUGAUGCGUGGCUACAAUGCACAACCUUUUGAGGAUUCCAGACUGUACACAACACUUGUGGCCUAGUUUGCCGGAUGCAUAUUAUGCCGAAGUCCUGCUGACCCCAAGCAUGGUGUGAAAUGAAGAAAUGGCACUCCACAUCCAUAGAGAGCUUGAUUUCCCCUGUUUCAUGCUUACUUGUUGGCAUAGCCAGUCUGUUAGCUUAAUUUUUGGUUCUUCCCUAUUGAAUGCUCAAGAAAGGCACCAAAACUGUCAUUCAUUGAAAAAAAGUUGUUUGCAGACACUGCCAUGCACAAAGCCCUUGACCUCAUUGAAUGUUUUUAAAAGAAAAUGCAGCUUCUGUGUGCAGCAAUAGGCUGAACAAGACGAGGGCAAACAGGAAGGUUGCGACAUUAGUGUUCAAGAGUUGGCCAACAAAGAAGGUCACAAGCUGAAGCCAACAUCUUUACAACGGAACAAAUGGAUUUAGCCUGAGCCAUUCCCUGUUCGACCAGCCAAGUCUCUUUGUCGAAACAUGUGCUCUAGCCUAAGGCGUACAUAUCCCGUUCUACCACUCUCGAUCAACGAUACACCAAUACAAUUAGCAACUCGUGGCAAGGUCGUAAAUUCACGUGGUGUGCACCCUGUAGUGUAGUGUGCACCCUGCAAAGUAGCAUGAAUAGUAUGGUAUUUACUUGAAUGAAAUGCAGAUUUGCUUGCCAGUUACUUUAUUCCCAUGCUAUAAUUGGAAAGCAUGGUUCCUAAGAGAGAAUAAUGAUUUGAAGUUCACACAGUUUUGCUCCUUUAUGUAAGUUCACACUGUUACGGUUGCUACACUACCAGUCCUGUCUGCAACUGCAUAGUAGUGUUCCGAGUACGCAGCCCAAUUCAAUAGAAAAGGUAGGCUUUUUCCUCAGAAAAUGUGCUGCUGCCUCACA